ensembl:lncRNA
CCCGUCUUCAGGGCUCAAAAGGGCCGCGGUCACCAUGGCAACGUGGGUCCCUAGGCCCCGCCCCCGGGCCCCAAGACAUGCUGCUGUCCUAUCAGAAGAGGUUAAAGACUCCUGGUGACCUGUCACUCAGAGGACUAUUUAUCAGUGGAUGUAGACAGAGAGAUUUAUUCUUCAAUAUAUUAUUAUUAUUAAUAUGAUUAUGUUAUUAGAAACACUUUCUGCUGGUUGGCGUGAGCCCAUGAACCAGAUACUUUUGACCUUUAACCCCUGUGAACCAAACCUGGGAACAUGCUACACACACACACACAAAACACGCCCACACAGGCCGACGCUCGCACACACUCACUCCCGGGCACACACACACAAACACACGCACACAAACACACACACAGCGCCCCCGAACGACUUGUGCAAACCACAUUGGAGCCGUUUCACGCAAACAGAUUACAUAUAUCUAUUUAUUUAUUUAUCAUGUAUUUGUGCGCUAGGUAAGAGUUUGUGUGACUAUGUACGGAGAUUGUACUUAGAGGACUGAUGUGGCAUUUCCAGAGUAUAUUUAAGGAUCCGUUGUACAGACCCUACCUCAGGCCGCCGGAGACACACAGGAAAUUAUCUAUUUAUUUUCGAAGGUGAAUGUUUUUCUAAACCCAGCCUCCAAAGCCUUGCUGUCUGAAGGGGCUUCUGGUGGCGGACCUAUCAACACACAGGAUAUCAAAGACGGGCAUCGCCGUGGAGACCCAGAAUGUCUCCAGAGUCUAGGGGAGAUGUAGAGGUUGUCUGCACCCUUCGAAGGCUGCAUGGCAAACCCAGCAGGUUCUAGAGGGACCAGAACCUAGACCAGGACCUAGACCCACCAGGUACUAGACCAGGACUUAGACCCACCAGGUACUAGACCAGGACCUAGACCCACCAGUUACUAGACCAGGACCUAGACCAGGACCUAGACCCACCAGGACCUAAACCAGGACCUAGACCCACCAGUUACUAGACCAGGACCUAGACCAGGACCUAGACC